CGAACGAUGAAGCCCAGCUUGCUGGGUGGAUUAGUGGCGAACGGGUGAGUAACACGUGAGUAACCUGCCCUUAACUCUGGGAUAAGCCUGGGAAACUGGGUCUAAUACCGGAUAGGAGCGCCUACCGCAUGGUGGGUGUUGGAAAGAUUUAUCGGUUUUGGAUGGACUCGCGGCCUAUCAGCUUGUUGGUGAGGUAAUGGCUCACCAAGGCGACGACGGGUAGCCGGCCUGAGAGGGUGACCGGCCACACUGGGACUGAGACACGGCCCAGACUCCUACGGGAGGCAGCAGUGGGGAAUAUUGCACAAUGGGCGCAAGCCUGAUGCAGCGACGCCGCGUGAGGGAUGACGGCCUUCGGGUUGUAAACCUCUUUCAGUAGGGAAGAAGCGAAAGUGACGGUACCUGCAGAAGAAGCACCGGCUAACUACGUGCCAGCAGCCGCGGUAAUACGUAGGGUGCGAGCGUUAUCCGGAAUUAUUGGGCGUAAAGAGCUCGUAGGCGGUUUGUCGCGUCUGUCGUGAAAGUCCGGGGCUUAACCCCGGAUCUGCGGUGGGUACGGGCAGACUAGAGUGCAGUAGGGGAGACUGGAAUUCCUGGUGUAGCGGUGGAAUGCGCAGAUAUCAGGAGGAACACCGAUGGCGAAGGCAGGUCUCUGGGCUGUAACUGACGCUGAGGAGCGAAAGCAUGGGGAGCGAACAGGAUUAGAUACCCUGGUAGUCCAUGCCGU
rnacentral:rRNA from 1 species